CCAAACUUGGUCAUUUAGAGGAAGUAAAAGUCGUAACAAGGUUUCCGUAGGUGAACCUGCGGAAGGAUCAUUAUCGAUUCCGUUCGGCUGUGCGCCUUUUGGGGCUGCACGUCGGAUGCCCACUUACACACACCUGUGCACCUCGAGCGUGGCAACACGUUCGCCUUUUCACAUACAACUACAAACCCGAAUGUCUUUGACGUUAAUAAACGAACACAACUUUCAACAACGGAUCUCUUGGCUCUCGCAUCGAUGAAGAACGCAGC
rnacentral:misc_RNA from 1 species